GACGAACGCUGGCGGCGUGCUUAACACAUGCAAGUCGAACGGAAAGGCCCUGCUUUUGCGGGGUGCCCGAGUGGCGCAGGGGUGAGUAACCCGUGAGUAUCCUGCCCUUGACUUUGGGAUAACUUCAGGAAACUGGGGCUAAUACCGGAUAGGAGCUCCUGCAGCAGGGUGGGGGUUGGAAAGUUUCGGCGGUUGGGGAUGGACUCGCGGCUUACCAGCUUGUUGGUGGGAUAGUUGCUUACCAAGGCUUUGACGGGUAGUCCGCCUGAGAGGGUAGACGGCGACAUUGGGACUGAGGUACGGACCAGACUCCUACGGGAGGCAGCAGUGGGGAAUAUGACACAAUGAGCCGAAGCGUGAUACAAAGGCGCCGCGUGCGGGAUGACGGCCUUCGGGUUGUGAACCGCUUUCGCCUGUGACGAAGCGGGAGUGACGGUAAUGGGUAAAGAAGCACCGGCUAACUACGUG
rnacentral:rRNA from 1 species